CUACGGGUUGCUGCAGUGGGGGAUAUUGCACAAUGGAGGAAACUCUGAUGCAGCAACGCCGCGUGAGGGAAGAAGGUUUUCGGAUUGUAAACCUCUGUUUUCGGUGAAGAAAAAAAUGACGGUAGCCGAAGAGGAAGCCACGGCUAACUACGUGCCAGCAGCCGCGGUAAUACGUAGGUGGCAAGCGUUGUCCGGAUUUACUGGGUGUAAAGGGUGCGCAGGCGGGACUGCAAGUUGGAUGUGAAAAUCUGAGGCUCAACCUCAGAACUGCAUCCAAAACUGUGGUUCUUGAGUGGAGUAGAGGUAAGCGGAAUUCCGAGUGUAGCGGUGAAAUGCGUAGAUAUUCGGAGGAACACCAGUGGCGAAGGCGGCUUACUGGGCUCUAACUGACGCUGAGGCACGAAAGCAUGGGUAGCAAACAGGAUUAGAUACCCCCGUAGUC
rnacentral:rRNA from 1 species